AGAGCAUUCCUCAAGAUGAUUGGCUAUGUCCAUACUGUAUCUGCAAAUAUUGUGGUCUUGCCGGCUACGGCGAUGAUGAAUUAUUCACCUGCUCUCAAUGUCAGAAGAAAUAUCACUGGGCAUGUUAUCUUCAAGAAGACUUGGAUCUUAAUGCUCCAGUGACUCCUGUCAUCAACUCCUUUUGUGGGCAGAGCUGCAGGGAGAUUUUUGAGCACUUGGAGAGAGUAGUUGGAGUCAGAAACGAGGUAGAUGGAGGGUUGUGUUGGUCUUUAAUCCGCCAAACAGAUCUACGGUCGGCUGCACCCAUCGAUAAUUUGCCUCAGAUUGUUGAAUGUAACUGCAAGAUUGCUGUUGUUUGGGGGAUGAUGGAUGAAUGUUUCGAUAAAACGAUAGACCGCCACACCAAC